ACGACCUUACUUGAACAGGAUCUGUUCUAUAGGCUCGUACCUCUGUAUCCUUGAGUUCAAAGGAGACAGGAAACCAAGCCUGGUGGAUGAACUAUAUGGCCAGGGGGCUAGAGCGUGAGUAACAGCACCGCACCUUUGCUGGUCGGAGCCGUAGAGGAUCGUUCCUGGCAGUGUUACCCACGGUUGGGAUGGCCCCUUGACUGUCUGACAGGCU